AAUACGUUAUAACUACAUAAAUAUUUUGGUGUAUUUAAGCCCGCAGAUUUCAACAAUCUUCAUUUUCUUUUUAAUCUUUAUGCUGAAUUAUACUACAUCAUAUAAAUUAAAAUGUAGGGAGUAGGAGAUAAAGCUUCACCAAGAAGAAGAAAUAAUAAACUUACAGACGCGCUAUAAAUUAUCUUAAACAAAUGAACGUGUCUCCACUUUAUUACCUACAAAAUUUUAUAACAAUAACUUUUACAAUCUAGAAAUAGUGAUAAUGUUUCUUGGAAGCUCCAUGCAUGCAGAGUUAACAUUCACAGAAGAAUUAAUUGACCUAUAAUCUACACGAGCCAAAAGACAAGCUCUACUGCAUGACUCCACAACCACAAGAAUUAUCGACUAAUUCAGCAUCCGCCACCACCAUCACCACCGCUUUUAUAGCCGUCUCCACCACCGCCACUGCACCCGCCUCCCCACCAUAAUCACCUCCUCCAUCUCCAUAGUAGUGCCCACCGCGGCCCCAUCGGCUUUUCUUGCCGUUAGAGGAGUCUCCACUAAGCAAAAAUGACCAUUGAUAUCAUCAAAAUAGACAUAACCACUAUUCCCACCAUUGUCAUCAGCCCCGAACCCUCAAUUGCUGAGCCACCAUCUCCCACGCCAUAUAUUAAUCGUGCCAUAUUUCUGUUUAGACUUUAAAUAAUUAAUUAUCUGAAGAAAUGACAAUAUCUUAACAAGUAAUAUAUAGGCGCCAUUAAGCGGCCUUUUGCGAUAUAUGUUUGGUUGUAGACUUUUCGUAUGAGUUGACCAUGUGUUGCUUCAUUGGCCCUGGAUCAAUCAUUGAAUCUGAUUAUUCUAAUGGGAAAAAUGCCUACUAGCCAUGUUCAACAAAGUUGCAACUUCAUCCAAAAGACC
rnacentral:lncRNA from 1 species